CUACGGAGGGUGCAAGCGUUAUCCGGAAUCAUUGGGUUUAAAGGGUCCGUAGGCGGGCGAUUAAGUCAGAGGUGAAAUCCCACAGCUCAACUGUGGAACUGCCUUUGAUACUGGUUGUCUUGAGUUACAGUGAAGUAGAUAGAAUGUGUAGUGUAGCGGUGAAAUGCAUAGAUAUUACACAGAAUACCGAUUGCGAAGGCAGUCUACUAACUGUAUACUGACGCUAAUGGACGAAAGCGUGGGGAGCGAACAGGAUUAGAAACCCCAGUAGUCC
rnacentral:rRNA from 1 species